GGGUGCGAUUAUACCAGAACUAAAGCACCGGAUCCCAUCAGAACUCCGCAGUUAAGCGUGCUUGGGCGAGAGCAGUACUAG
rnacentral:rRNA from 1 species